rnacentral:rRNA from 1 species
UACGGAGGGAGCUAGCGUUGUUCGGAAUUACUGGGCGUAAAGCGCGCGUAGGCGGCUUCGUAAGUUAGAGGUGAAAGCCCGGGGCUCAACCCCGGAAUUGCCUUUAAGACUGCAUCGCUUGAAUCCGGGAGAGGUGAGUGGAAUUCCGAGUGUAGAGGUGAAAUUCGUAGAUAUUCGGAAGAACACCGGAGGCGAAGGCGGCUUGCUGGACCUGGUCUGACGCUGAGGCGCGAAAGCGUGGGGAGCGAACAGG